rnacentral:rRNA from 1 species
UACGAAGGGGGCUAGCGUUGUUCGGAAUCACUGGGCGUAAAGCGCACGCAGGCGGGUCGUUAAGUCAGGGGUGAAAUCCCGAGGCUCAACCUCGGAACUGCCUUUGAUACUGGCGACCUUUGAGUCCGGGAGAGGUGAGUGGAACUCCGAGUGUAGAGGUGAAAUUCGUAGAUAUUCGGAAGAACACCAGUGGCGAAGGCGACUUACUGGACACAUAUUGACGCUGAGGUGCGAAAGCGUGGGGAGCAAACAGG